rnacentral:rRNA from 1 species
AACGAACGCUGGCGGCAUGCCUAACACAUGCAAGUCGAACGAGACCUUCGGGUCUAGUGGCGCACGGGUGCGUAACGCGUGGGAACCUGCCCUUAGGUUCGGAAUAACUCCCCGAAAGGGGUGCUAAUACCGGAUAAUGUCUUCGGACCAAAGAUUUAUCGCCUUUGGAUGGGCCCGCGUUGGAUUAGCUAGUUGGUAGGGUAAAAGCCUACCAAGGCGACGAUCCAUAGCUGGUCUGAGAGGAUGAUCAGCCACACUGGGACUGAGACACGGCCCAGACUCCGACGGGAGGCAGAGGGGGGGAAUAUUGGAAAAGGGGGGAAAGCCUGACCCAGCAAGGCCGGGGGGGGGAUGAAGGCCUGGGGGUUUAAAAGCUUUUUUCCCCGGGAUGAAAAGGAAAGGCCGGGGAGAAUAAGCCCCGGCUAACCCCG